rnacentral:lncRNA from 1 species
GUUCAGAGCUACUGCCUCAAGGGCCGCUUCCAAACAACUGAGCUCAUUUUGUCAAAACAUCACCUUUCUGCCUUCUUUUUGCAAUUCAAUGAUUCUAAAUCCAUUAAUGAAGGCACACACACAAAAAAACCACAUAGAAGCUUUCAAAAAGGGCCAAUCUACACCACUCUCUUUUUACAUACUCAAAUUUUAUACCAGGAAGUCUUUACACGUACAACUUUUUUUCCUUAAUGGUAGUAGGGGAGUUUAUCAGGAAACAAUAUGGAUUCUUGUGAAAACAUCUUUUGAAAUAAAGCCUACCCUCUCCAAGAGUUGGGCUUCCCUGGUGGCUCAGAUGGUAAAGGUGGCUCUGCCUGCAAUGCAAGAGACCUGGGUUCGAUGCCUGGAAGAUUGGAAGAUUCUUUGAAGGAGGGAAUGGCUCCAUACUUCUGGGUAUUCGUUUUUAACUGAAUAUAAAGACAGUUCAAAGUCUCUGACAGUGGGUCAUUUGUACAGAGUUGGUUCACUUUCAGAGGCAAGAUGGGUUAGGUGAAACUGAUGUUACUGCAGGUUAUCUGAUAUAUCUCUUCAAGCAGUUAGAAAAAAAAAAAUGCAUGUUGUAAAAAAAAGCCUUCCUUGAAAUAGGAAGUGACCUCUCACAUUUGCUGUGUGACUUUGAGAUACCCAAUUAGCCUCUCAGAGCUUCCUCUUAUUCCCUUUCAGUAGUAUUAGUAAGGUUUAUCUUGCAGAGUAGUUGUAAACAAAAAAGAAGAUAAUGUACAAUAAAGAGCUUGAGAAUGUUCAGAGGUGUCC